GCCUGGGUGGCUCAGUCAGUUAAGCGUUUGCCUUUGGCUCAGGUCAGGAUCUCACAGUUCGUGGGUUCAAGCCCCACAUCAGGCU
rfam:Felis catus isolate Cinnamon breed Abyssinian chromosome B3, whole genome shotgun sequence.